UACUAGAGUAGCACUCGCAUAUCAAUAAGCGGAGGAAAAAGAAACUAACAAGGAUUCCCCUAGUAACGGCGAGUGAAGCGGGAAGAGCUCAAAUUUGAAAUCUUAAAGGGUUUCCCUUUACGAAUUGUAGUUUAAAGAAGUGUUUUCUGUUGAGGGUUUGGUAAAAGUUCUUUGGAAUAGGACAUCAUAGAGGGUGAGAAUCCCGUAUUUGACCUUUACUUUCAACUUUGUGAUACACUUUCAAAGAGUCGGAUUGUUUGGGAAUGCAGUCCAAAAUGGGUGGUAAAUUUCAUCUAAAGCUAAAUAUUGGCGAGAGACCGAUAGCGAACAAGUACCGUGAGGGAAAGAUGAAAAGAACUUUGAAAAGAGAGUUAAACAGUACGUGAAAUUGUCAAAAGGGAAGCGUUUGACACCAGUGUUGUUUUUUCUGAAAAUCAAUUAAAGAACUGUUUAUGCUAAGUUGUUUAGACUUUAUCAGCUAUCUGCUUAGUUUUGAGCUUUUCUUUAAUGCACUUUUCAGUUAACAAGUCAACAUCAAUUUCUUUUGCUGUAAAAAAGCUUGAGGAAGGUGGCUUGAGAUUCGUCUUAAGUGUUUAUAGCCUCUUGCCUAUGCAGUCGGAGAGAUUGAGGUCUGCAGCGUAGAUCCUUCGGGGCUAAAUGCAUUUGUGCUAAGUUAUAGCAUUUUAUAGACAACCUUGUUGACUAUGAUUUGUCUUGUAGCUUACUCGCUUAUGUUAUUUUACCUACGCUUAGGAUGUUGAACUCUAUCACACACAG
rnacentral:rRNA from 1 species